ACAUACAUACAUACAUACAUACCGGGUAAUUCACAAAAAUAAGAAUUGUCAGGAAUUCAUAAUGGAUUUCAAAGUGGAUGACAGAAUAGUCAAACUGGAAGCAUUGUAUACCUGACAAUUGUGUUAGUGAAUAACCUUGUGAGACAUGAAUUAUCACACACCAUCACUAUCAUCACAGACACACCAAAACACAGUCACAGACAUACACGCAUUAACACAAUUACGAACAUUCAUAAAAAACCAAACAAAACACAAAGGCACAUAAAGACACAACACACUCAGUCACAUAGACACAGGCUUAUGUAUAGCAGGUUGGUUGGUAGGUUAACUGAAUUGGUGUUCACGUGGGUUGUGACGGUAGGUAGGUAGUUACUCAGCAGAGUAUUGCUGGUGUAACACCACCUACACUUAGCAGCUCAUUUGCCAGCUACAGACUGGGGGAGUUUCUAGGGCUGGGAGGUUUUCACGGCUGCAUUCUAAAGCAGUCACUCACUCUCCUGAGCCCUACUAUGUUCCAAGCUGUGACACUCUUCCCUGC